GAAGCAACAGGCAAUGGGGCAGAGGGUAUGGAGGAAGCUCCAUGCUUUGGAGGAUUUGCUGCUGAUCUGUUUUAGUUUCUCUGGUCUUUUUAAUGACACGUAGAGGAACAGUCUUUUUAAUCAGAAGCUUCAGGCCAUGUUGGCUGGGCGCUAGCCAUGACAAACGUGGAUUUUUUCAGGAUUGCUUCAGAUCAGAUGCAAGAACUGGAAAGGAAUACAGUACUCAUAUUCAUACUAGAAAAACGUUAAAAUAAAAGGAAAUGAAGCGUGUAAAAAGAAAUAUUUUCUUUUUCCAAUGGUCUUUGAAAAAGAU